rnacentral:rRNA from 1 species
UACGAAGGGGGCUAGCGUUGCUCGGAAUGACUGGGCGUAAAGGGCGCGUAGGCGGCUUGCAACGUCAGAUGUGAAAUUCCUGGGCUUAACCUGGGGGCUGCAUUUGAUACGUGUGGGCUUGAGUGCGGAAGAGGGUCGUGGAAUUCCCAGUGUAGAGGUGAAAUUCGUAGAUAUUGGGAAGAACACCGGUGGCGAAGGCAGCGACCUGGUCCGUGACUGACGCUGAGGCGCGAAAGCCAGGGGAGCAAACGGG